GGGGCGGGGACCAACCGGGAGGGCCUGCGGGAGGAGCCUGCCUUCCUGGGUUAGUCGGGCUACCUGCACCGUCAGGCUCCCAGGCCACUUUGUUCCAGUUGACAGGCUCCAGAUGCUUCUAAUAUAUGAGUUCUUGAAGACUGCAUCACAGGCCCUCAGACUGUCCUGUGUGCUUCUGCAUCUGGUCUAUUGCCCUGUGUUAUUUCAGUGCAAAACGAUGAGAGAAUCCCAGCUUUGGCAUGCCUUAAAGACAGCCUGUCCCUAUAUGAGAUUCACGCUGGAUUUGGAUCCCCAU
rnacentral:sRNA from 1 species